GAACUUCAUUACCAACUCUGGAAUAUUAGUCGAUUUUUAUUUUUGUUUUUUUUAACAAUGGCAUUGGUUUUAGAAAUCAAUGAACGUACAUCAUCGAUUUACAGGUGUGGGUAUAUGGCACGUGCUUAUGAUAAUGCAGGUGCUCUUGGCUCUCUCUCUCUUUUUAUCGUACUUUUUCUCUCUUUGUCUCACACCAGUCAUUCAUUCUUUCUCUUCUCGUAUAUAUAUAUACGUAUAUAUUC